UAGAUUCUGACAAGACCUAAAGCACAAAGAGUCCAAAAUUGAGAAUUACAGCCCAAGUUUAGAACAUCCAGGGCUCAUGAGUUGAGUCUAACCUUGUGGCUAGAAUGGACAAGUAAAAAGCAGCACAAAGUCAA